UAAUCUGAGUAUAUAUUCCAGAUUACAGCCGGACAAGAGUACUUUCUCAUCGAGAUGACAGUUUGACUUUCAGGAUAAAUACAAGCAGGAAAGUUCGAGGAUUUUUACUUCAACACUCGAAAAUAACAGACUUUUGUCUGUCUUUUGUUUGUUUAGAUUUUUGUUUGUGUUGUUAUUUGUGUUGUGAGAUGUGUUUGUCGGGCGAGCGGGCUCUGCAGUCGGGUUCAGAGUUCCAGGCGGGAAGUUUUCAGUGGCCGACCUGUAUGGCUUAAACAGAAAACACAAAGGGUUCACUGAGGGGUCAGGACAGGGGGCGCUGCGGGCUCAUGAUGGACAGGGUCAAGUUCAAAGUUCAGGUGAAGACCUGGCAUCACAGAUCCUGGGAGCGGCACAAAGAAAGAUGGAGAAGAGAUGACUUGAGCUCUACCUGAGAGAAUAUGACCUGUCAAUCACAAAUUGCACUGCCCACCUCACCAACAUGCCAUACAGGAAUUUAGGGAAGUCUGGACUGAGAGUAUCCUGUCUUGGAUUAGAUAGCAGAGAAAAUCCUAACCAUGUCGUAUGAAAAUGGAGUAAAUGUCUUUGAUACAGCAGAGAUUUAUGCAUCAGGAAGAGCUGAACUCACUUUGGGGAACAUCAUAAAGAAGAAAGGCUUGAGAUGGUCGAGCUUUGUGAUCACCACAGAAAUCUACUGGGGUGGACAGUGAAUGUCUUCAGGGGUCUCUGUCCAGACUACAGAUGGACUAUGUGGACGUUAUGUUUGCAAACCACAUGGACUUUAAUACACCAAUGGAAGGUCAGUGUGUGUUUAGUCACAAUUCAUGUUGUUCCAUGAGGAGAAUUUUUGAAACACCAUAAAAGUAUCAUUAAGUAUCAUCAAAGUAGUCAUUAGAACUCGUGCACUAUAUUCCAAGUCUUCUGAAGUCAUACGGAAGCUUUGUGUGAAGAACAGACCCAAAUUUAAGUCUGAAAAUCUCUCCGCAGCUCUGAAAUCUCAUUCUCUAUUCCAUAUAUUCAAACUGGUGUCUUUGUGUUUGCUUUUGACACACGCAAGAAUCAAUAACACCGAUCCUGAAGUGGCGCUUUAAAGUGUUUUUGUGGUGUUUUUUGGAGCUUUACAGACGUGGUCACUAUGAACUGUUGUUUUCUCCUUUUGUGUUCCACGGAAGAAAGUCAUGCGGGUUUGGAACGACAUGAAGGUCAGUAAAUAAUGACAGAAUAAAUAAAUAAAAUUGUUGUUGUAGAGGUGGUCCGAGCGAUGACAUUUGUCAUAGAGAACGGAAUGGUGUUUUACUGGGGCACGUCUCGCUGGACACCAAUGGAGAUCAUGGUGAGACCGUCCUGAUGAAAUAUAUAAAUAUACACAAAUAUUUAUGAGACGUUAUCAUAAUCAGUGAAGCAACUGAAGAUGAUUUUGACAAUAAUAUUUCUAUUCGUCUGUAUGUAGGAAGCGUAUUCUGUGGCACGGCAGUUUAAUCUACUUUCUCCAGUGUGUGAACAGGUAGAAUAUCAUUAUUUUCAGAGAGACAAAGUGGAAAUUCAGCUGCCUGAACUCUACCACAAGAUCGGUAACACAAUUAAUGAUGACAUUUCCUACAGCAUUACUUUUAUGCAUUUGCAUUUUAUCCACACAAACCUGUUCAUGUCAGUAGACCUUCCUUUGCACACUAAAAGACAUCAUUAGUGAGGCAAAAACGUGUGUAAAUCACUUUUGUAAAGUCUCAUAACAGUCCUCUUUCUCAGGAGUGGGGACAGUGACGUGGUCUCCGUUGGCGUGUGGAUUCAUCACUGGGAAAUACUCCUGCCGUGCAAACUUACAGGAUUAUGAGUGGUUAAAUGACAGGUUGGACUCUGAUGAAGGCAGGAAACAGAUGCUGAAGGUCAAACAGCUCCACCUGCGGCCAGAAACAUGAACUGCACUGCUUCACAGUUAGCCAUUGCCUGGUGUCUCAGGAGUGAGAGUGUAGGUUCGGUUAUUCUAGGUGUCUCGAGCCCAGAUCAACUUCUGGAGAACCUGGGUGCUAUCAAGAUUGUUUCUCUGAUGACUCCAGAGCUGCUGAUGGAGAUAGACUCGAUCCCCUGCAACAGGCCGCGCUCCAAAACAUGAGCGAGAAAUCUGAUGAAGAAUCCAGACGAAAGAGACUUUACCUUUCCAAUUAAUCAUGCACGCUGAUUUUCAACACAGCUUCGUACAUCCGUAGAUUUCGUUUUUAGGCUGGAAGAACCUCCGAAACUUUGAUCUCCUGAGAGGUGGAAAAUAGACUAGGGAUGUGCCGAUUACGAUAUGUGUACGAUAUAUUGGAAUCGGGUCUGGUACUGCGCUCACUUUAUUCGUACAUGUAAAAAUGAUCAGAUAUAGAAAAACCAUACUGUCUGACAUACGAAAGUCAUACUAUGGAAGCCCAUUUCUGCCACAUAGAACAAAAAAAUCGUGCUUUGGUAAGUCAAAAUUAGGAGAUACAAAGUCAAGUAGUAAUAAUGAGAUAAAAUAGUAAGAAUUAUUGCCCACAAUCCCUUGCUCGACAGAAGGUUCCAAGGAAGGUUCACUUCAGAAAUUCAACUGAAAAACGUGAAAACCAGAAACGGCAGUGAAACUGACGGUGCUUCAUCAGUUCUUGUCAUGUGCUAACAUUCUUUAAUCCUGUGAAAAGAAACUGUAGGAUGAACACAGUGAUCAGCUUAUUAAAAUACAAACGAUCUACUGCUCCAUUUACACAAUGAAUCAUUCUCAUCUUAACUGCAUGCUUUAUGUCCAUCUACUGUAUUUGUGUUGCUUAUUGUGGGUGCUCUUGUGUGUGUUUUUAAGAGCUUUCUUUCUUGAAAAUAAUUUUUAAGGAAAAGUAUCAAAGCCCCAUUUAGAUUAAAAGGCGAAAAAACUGUUAAGACAAUUGUCUGUUCUCAUUUUAUUUUUGCCAUUUAAUGUAUCACUGAAAUAUAGCAGAGUUCAGAUUCUCUUUCAUCGGACUGUUGAAAUGAUGCAUUCGUAAUGUGACACUCCCAAAAACAAGAAAUAAAGUGAUCCAGGACAGUGUCAUGCAAAUGUUCUAUCCUUCUGAUUUGGUGUAACAUUCAAGAUGUGGUAGAUAAUCCUCGAUUUUUUUAACUUGAUGAAUCAUAAGAUAACACUGUUAAAUUGAUCAAAAAGAUGUAUUUACUGUUACGUGUUAUAUUAAAUCUGCAACACAUUGUGAACUUCACACAUUC